UGGGGGAUAUUGCACAAUGGGGGAAACCCUGAUGCAGCGACGCCGCGUGGAGGAAGAAGGUUUUCGGAUUGUAAACUCCUGUCGUUAGGGACGAUAAUGACGGUACCUAACAAGAAAGCACCGGCUAACUACGUGCCAGCAGCCGCGGUAAAACGUAGGGUGCAAGCGUUGUCCGGAAUUACUGGGUGUAAAGGGAGCGCAGGCGGGAAGACAAGUUGGAAGUGAAAACCAUGGGCUCAACCCAUGAAUUGCUUUCAAAACUGCUGGCCUUGAGUAGUGCAGAGGUAGGUGGAAUUCCCGGUGUAGCGGUGGAAUGCGUAGAUAUCGGGAGGAACACCAGUGGCGAAGGCGACCUACUGGGCACCAACUGACGCUGAGGCUCGAAAGCAUGGGUAGCAAACAGGAUUAGAUACCCUGGUAGUCCAUGCCGUAAACGAUGAUUACUAGGUGUUGGAGGAUUGACCCCUUCAGUGCCGCAGUUAACACAAUAAGUAAUCCACCUGGGGAGUACGACCGCAAGGUUGAAACUCAAAGGAAUUGACGGGGGCCCGCACAAGCAGUGGAGUAUGUGGUUUAAUUCGAAGCAACGCGAAGAACCUUACCAGGUCUUGACAUCCGAUGCAUAGUGCAGAGAUGCAUGAAGUCCUUCGGGACAUCGAGACAGGUGGUGCAUGGUUGUCGUCAGCUCGUGUCGUGAGAUGUUGGGUUAAGUCCCGCAACGAGCGCAACCCUUAUUGCCAGUUACUACGCAAGAGGACUCUGGCGAGACUGCCGUUGACAAAACGGAGGAAGGUGGGGAUGACGUCAAAUCAUCAUGCCCUUUAUGACCUGGGCUACACACGUACUACAAUGGCCGUUAACAGAGGGAAGCAACACCGCGAGGUAGAGCAAAACCCUAAAAACGGUCCCAGUUCAGAUUGUAGGCUGCAACUCGCCUAUAUGAAGUUGGAAUUGCUAGUAAUCGCGGAUCAGCAUGCCGCGGUGAAUACGUUCCC
rnacentral:rRNA from 1 species